ensembl:lncRNA
ACAGAGUACACAACACAUCAGAUCAGGAAUGUUCUUUGGGCUUUUGACUCCAGAGACCACGAUGUCACAUUCAACAGGAAGUUUCCUAAUGCUUUUGAUGACUACCACCAGGAUGGCACUGGUUUCAACAGGGUCCAGUAAAACAGGUAAAUAAGCACACAUGAUCAUUGUUUGUUUUUGGUGUUUUUGUUUGCUUUUUAUUUUGUUGUCAUUGCAUUUUGCAUUUUUCAAUCAUUGAUACAGUUAAUAUUUUAGUAUACAUGUAUUUCAGGUCAGUAUUCAGCAUUCAAUGUUUUUGUGGGCAGUCUGGCCUUUGUCUUCUGAACUCUCGUAUCAACAAGGCAUUUUCCCAGCAGAAAACUUUGUCCCACUGAAUUUUGUUUUCUUUUUUUAAUCAUUCUCUGUUAAACAGUAGAGAUGGUUCUUUGGGACAAUCUCAGUAGAUCAGCAGCUUCUGAAAUACGUGGCAUCAACAACCAUGCAAAAUUCAAAGUUACAUAAAUCCCCCUUUUCUUCUUUCUGAUGUUCAGGUUGAACUUCAGCCGGUCAUUUUGACCAUUUCUGCAUGUCUAAAUGCAUUGAGAUACACACACGUGAUUGGCUGAUUAGAUAAGCAGACAGCAGUUACUACUAUUGCUUCACGUCAAGAGGUUUUUGGAUUUGAAUCCCCAGGCACUUGGGACUCUCUGUUAUAUGUGUUCGUGUUUGACCUUGUGCUUGUGUGUACUGUCUUUGGGUACUCUGGGUUUCUCCCACAAUCCACAGACAUACAUAGUGUUUUAGCUGGUGAUUCAAAAUUGGCCAACUUAAGCAUGAAUGGUUAGGUGUGUCUCUAUGAUGGAGUGGCAACCUGUCCAGGGUGAUGUAACCUGUACUUCCCCUGAGGGAAGUACAGGUUACAUCAUUAUCUUCAUCUCUCAAAGUUGCGUUGGCACAAAUAUGGCAACACUCUAAAAUGUUUUCAGAAAAAAAAUUAUUUAAUAAGACCAUGAUGACAUAAAGUCAUUGGAACAAAUUGGGAAUUAUUUCUUGGCGUCUGUGUGUAAGACUGGAUAAUCUUGUGUUUUAGUGCAGUUCCACUUUAUCAAUGAAUCCCUAACCUGGUAUGAGGCUCAGAGCUUCUGCAGAUUAAAAUACACUGACCUGGCAACCAUAAACAACAUGGAUGAAGAAAACCAGC